UUUUUCGCUGUCUAGAGACAGUAGGUGGCGGUAGAUCAUGAUAUUGUGAACUGUAGCACGUCCUGGUUCGUGAAAUUGAUGGAACGUUCUGAUUGGCUCGCGCAAAACACUCGGAAUUCGAAUUUGUCAAACCAAACGGAUACGCAAAAAAAGCAGUGAGGAACUUUUAAGUGACCAUUGCCAGGCAGAGUGAUGCCACCGACAGGGAGGGGAAUGGACAACAAAGGCCCCCCAAAAAUGACUCAAGAGGUGCAAAUAGAGAGGUCAACAUGCUAUUUUCCAAAUACUCUGAAGUGUUGAGUGAGAGGACUGCAAUAGAUGCUUCACAAGUUAGGGAGUUGGAAGACAUAUUGAUGGAGGCCAGAAACUUGGAGUCACACCUGAAAGAGAAG